AUAUCUCAACCAUGCGUGAAAGCGUAUGGCUUGGACUUGGGGGGAUGAUGCAGGCUCCGACUCGGUCAGUCUGCUCCCCUGAAACACAUGAGCGAAAUAAAAGGCCUCUUUGUUGGGUGUGAUAGCUUUAUCUGCAUCCGAGGGGUCGUUUACGUUCGCCGCUUUGGAUCUCAUUUUG
rnacentral:misc_RNA from 1 species